rnacentral:tRNA from 1 species
GGCCCCAUCGUCUAGUGGCCCAGGACGCAGCCCUCUCAAGGCUGAGAUCGGGGGUUCGAAUCCCCCUGGGGCUA